GAUGAACGCUGGCGGCGUGCCUAAUACAUGCAAGUCGAGCGAACGGACGAGAAGCUUGCUUUUCUGAUGUUAGCGGCGGACGGGUGAGUAACACGUGGAUAACCUACCUAUAAGACUGGGAUAACUUCGGGAAACCGGAGCUAAUACCGGAUAAUAUUUUGAACCGCAUGGUUCAAAAGUGAAAGACGGUCUUGCUGUCACUUAUAGAUGGAUCCGCGCUGCAUUAGCUAGUUGGUAAGGUAACGGCUUACCAAGGCAACGAUGCAUAGCCGACCUGAGAGGGUGAUCGGCCACACUGGAACUGAGACACGGUCCAGACUCCUACGGGAGGCAGCAGUAGGGAAUCUUCCGCAAAGGGCGAAAGCCUGACGGAGCAACGCCGCGUGAGUGAUGAAGGUCUUCGGAUCAUAAAACUCUGUUAUUAGGGAAGAACAUAUGUGUAAGUAACUGUGCACAUCUUGACGGUACCUAAUCAGAAAGCCACGGCUAACUACGUG
rnacentral:rRNA from 1 species